rnacentral:lncRNA from 1 species
AAUACUUAUAAAAAAUACAUAAAUGAUAUGACGGAGCUGUUUUCAUUUGAGGCAUGAACCUAAAACAUUCUUUGAAUCAAGAAAAAAAUCUAAAACAUAUUUUGUUUACACUAUUUGACAGAACACAACUUUCAAAAUAAUCAACGGAGCUGCUUUCAUUUGAUGCAUGAUGAGUGAUACCUACAAAUAAGUAGGUUCAUCUUUCAGAUUCAUCAUAGCUAAGUCAAUCUCCUCUCUAGAUCAUCCACUUCAGUAGAUUCCAAGCUGCAAGAAUAUUUGAACACUGAAAAGAAUGAGUUAUCUAUUUCUGGUAAACUUAAUAUAUUAAAGUAAGCAAAAUAGAUUGUAUUUCUUGUUCUUCAUUAUAUUCCUGGUAAACUUAAUAGAUCAAAGUAACCAAAAUAUAAAAGUAAGAAAACAAAUAUACAUGACGUUGUUUUAGUUUUGAAAGUCAUCACUUUCCCUAGUUAUAUAAUAUAAAAACGUUACUUUUUUGAACAUUAUAUAAACGUUAUUUUAAAUAAAUGUAUUGCCGUUCCCCAAAAAAAUAAUAAUAGAUGUAUUGUCUUUGCGUAAAUUUGUAGUGUGAAGAGUGCAACGAAGGGAGGAGGACUUGAGACCGAAGACGUAAGCAACUCUGCUGCAUCUCCAAACGCAUCCCCAACUUUCUCUCCUGUGUUUUCGAUCAGUGUUUUGGUUGUCGCGUUUAAGGUGGUUCAACGCCUUUGGUGAAAGCUGUGCGGAUCUGAUUUUAACAACAGCAUCGUUCGAUUCAUCUAAGAGAAAGAAGAGAUCAUCAACCGAAGAUGAUAGGAAGAAAGAGUUAAUUAGUCCGAGAUGAUUGUUUUUAGAACGGCUAAAAGCUUGUGUGUGUCCUAAAGUUCUAAUGAUCUGAGAUCCACCUGAGCAGCAGCUGCCUCUGAGAAUGUUUUGAGAUAUUUCAGCUUCAUUGCUAGCAGAAACCUUGGCUUCCUGCAUCGCAUCUACUAUAAUUUUUGUGAAUGACAUGAGCUCAUCUUCUUCCACAUGCAGUGCACAUUUCAAUUCUGAACUUAAGG